rnacentral:rRNA from 1 species
AUUGAACGCUGGCGGAAUGCUUUACACAUGCAAGUCGAGCGGCAGCGCGGGGGCAACCCUGGCGGCGAGCGGCGAACGGGUGAGUAACACAUCGGAACGUACCCAGUGGUGGGGGAUAGCCCGGCGAAAGCCGGAUUAAUACCGCAUACGACCUGAGGGGGAAAUGGGGGACCGCAAGGCCUCACGCCGUUGGAGCGGCCGAUGUUCGAUUAGCUAGUUGGUAGGGUAAAGGCCUACCAAGGCGACGAUCGAUAGCUGGUCUGAGAGGACGACCAGCCACACUGGAACUGAGACACGGUCCAGACUCCUACGGGAGGCAGCAGUGGGGAAUUUUGGACAAUGGGGGCAACCCUGAUCCAGCCAUUCCGCGUGAGUGAAGAAGGCCUCGGUUGUAAGAC